rnacentral:lncRNA from 1 species
UAGCUGAUCGCUAACGUCCCUUUAAACCAUGACAACCCUGAUGAGAAUAAACCUUCCCGAAGCUUUCCAGCACAGCGGGAAGAGUUACUGAGCUUGGAAACCGAAAGGAAAGCAGGCGAGAUGCUCCCACUACAGGAGGAGAAAGCAAGGGGCCGGAUCUGGAAGGCAGUGGAAACCCAAAAAGAGGAUGGUGUUGAGACAGGGUAGGGUGGAUAGGGGCUGGGCGCCCGGGGAACUGCGGAAUGAUUUGGGGACUGAGAUACAUAUGAUGGAGGCCCGCGGCAGCCGCGGGAACCCGCCAGUCCCGGAGGAUACAUAGGCUUGGGGACUCACCUGCGUCUGCUCCUCCGUGAGACCCGCCUCGGCUGCGAUGAGGCACAGCGUGGUGGGGUCCGGGUGCUUGUUGACCUUGUUGAAGUUGUACUCCAGGAUCUCCACCUGGUCCUCCGUGGGGCCGCUCGCGGUCUGCGCCGACAUGGUCCGUGCGCGUCUGCAGGGGAACCAGAUGGCCCGGGUGAGCGAGGUCCGCCUGCCCCCUCCCGCCGUUCCACCGAGGCGCCCCGCGCCGCUGGCUGCGGAGUUUGGGGGGAACCCUCCUUCCCCGGGACCGUCCCCAACCUGACUAAGGAUGGAGAGGAGGAAGAAGACGCCUCCCGCCUGACACUCCGAGGGGACAGUAUACUGAGGAAGCGCCUCAAGUGCUGCCUCCGGAGAUCCGGAGCUGCCCUAGGGACUGAGGACACUCGCGGGGCUGGGCUCCCGUCGCCGUGGGCACGCCUCCCGGGCCGCCACACUCCGCCUCCGCCGCGGGCUAGCACGUGGGGGCCUUGCCAGGGAGCGCAGGGCAACGCACACUUUGGGGAAAGACGCUCACUGCACAAGUUGGGGAAAAAGAGACCGCACUUACAAACAAUACUACCAAUGGAUAUUUACUCUUUUUUUUCCCCCUGAUUAAAAAAUAGCACGUACUGCAGAAAAUGUGAAGGACAUUAAAAUCACAGAGGGAAAAUUAAAUUGCCAGCUUAGUCGCAAAUAACGGCUAUAAAAUUUUUGGAUGAUACUUUAAAGAUCUUUCCAAUGUACUUGUACUGAGACGGAAAUGGAAACACAGCGAUAAUGAUUUAUGAUUUACGGCUGGGUGGUAGCGUGGAGAAGGCUGAGCCAUGAGCAUGCGGAAGGCAGCUGAACCCCAAAUGCCAAGCCUCCAUCCCAAGAGCCUACCUACCUCACUGCGGUCUCCUGUAUGUGUGUGAGAUACCUUUCAAAACCUACCCAAUUAAUCAGGAUCAAAAUCAACUAUCAUUUAGAACCUCAGACUUCAGCCCAGAAAAAUAGGUCCACCUCCAGCUUCCAGUUCUCCAGCAACAAAUGUUGUCAGCAUAUCGCAGCAACAACCUUCCUGCUGCGCCACACCAAUAUAGCUUCAGACUUGGGGCUAAGAAAACUACCAGGCCCUUUAGGUUUGCUUUCUUCUGCCUUAAAAAUCCUACUUCUCUCAGAAACAUAGCAGAAUUAAGAACAAGAUGGGGAGAGGACUCUGUUGGAAACGUGCUUGCUGUCCGGUUUGAGGACCUGGGUUCAAAUCCCCAGAACCCAUGUAAAAAGCCAGAUGUUGUGGCUAACAUCUGUAAGCCUGGCAACGGCAAGAAGAGAAGAGGAGACAAGAAAAUCACUAUAAGCGUGCUGCCCAAGCGAUUCUCGACUACUUGGUGAAGUUCCAGGCUCGUGAGAAACACUGUCUCAAACAGAAGAUAGGAAGGAUCUGAAGAAUGUCUCUCAGGAAUGGUAAAGCCCAAUGCUGGAAAUCAGAACCUUUCCUCAAAUGCUGUGGCUGUAGCUUCGGCGUGAGAAGAUGCUGAUGCGUGACCUGGCCAGCCGCGUGAGGGUCGCUCACCUUCAGGGUACCUUCUGUCUGUCACACAGCAAUUGUGCUUUAAGUUUUCUAGUCUACUUGGGGAGGAAUAAAGAAUGAAUUUCUGCU